CGUCCAUGUUGGGCAGAGGGUGACUGAAGAGGAAACAAGAGAGGAAAAUAAAACAAGAAAAGUGAAAAGUAAAAUGGGAGAAGGAAGAGCAGGAAAGAAACAAACCUGCCAAUGAACCCAGAGGAAAGAAAUGGGAGGAGAGCCUAGAGGUAUACAGAUAGUCUUGCUUCUGAGCUUAUCUGGACCUACCUGAACCUGUGCUCUGGCCUCCCACUUUGCAACUAUCUCCCUCCCAUUGCUGACGUGGCCCUUGAUCAACUGCAACGGUAAGGUGAAAAUCACUGUGAACUGUAGCACACAAGCUAAAAGGUAACCCAUGUUCAGCUGCACUGAACUACUUGUUCUCCAAAAGGUAAAAGCUUUCUCUACAGACAGAGAUGGUGAAGGACAGGGAAGCCUGGCAUGCUGCAGUCCAUGAAGUUGCAAAGAAUCGGACACAACAGAGCGACUGAACAACAGACAGCUCUCUACCCUAAAAAUUCUUCCCCAGUCACUCCUCCAACCAUCCACCUCUGAAAAUUCCUGUUCAAGUGAUUCAGCCUGGAUUCUUCUCUGGAAAUCUUCAAUGACCACCUCAUGCAGGUGGAUUCUUCACUACUAGCCCCAGCUGGGAAGCCCUUUCUAGAAGCAGGCCCUGAGAAGAGGAUUGAACUGUGUCAGCUAAGCAAGACUGCUCUAGUCUCCAGGGCUCAAUAAAGACAAUGCCAUCCGAGGAGAAGAAGGACAUGCGAAGGAAGCCUACAUUGCUCUCCUCUGCCCAGAAACCCACUCCCCAGCAUGGACGACCCUCUGACGUUGCUCUCCCUUCUGGUCACUGUCACCAAGCCAGGAGGCAGAGGCUGAGAAUAUAUCCAAAAGGUUCCAAGCAGAGUUCUCAGGCCACAGCCUCCUCAGGAACCCUAAGAACAGCUGGACCUGUCUGACAUAGCCAACAGAAUGUUCAAGCAAGAUCUGGUCAUCUGAGCCAAAAGGAAAUUCUGACACAAAAAAUGAAGAUUGUUUCGUCUCUGCUUGGCAGCAAGAACUUGUGGUUGCUCUUAAGCAUUUGCAAGAACCUCUGGUUCUUAUUCCUGGAUCAGCAAUUUUUUCAUAAUUAAAAUUUUAAAAUAUUCUAAAAUAUGAUCACCACUGUUAUAUUUAGACCUAAACCGGAAACUGUUCAUUUUUUAAGUCUAUAUUGUACUUACUAAAUUAUGUCUUGGUCUGACAAAGAUUGUAGACUUAUUAGUUUGGUGGAAUAAUCAUUUUAAAUGACUAAUUCUUGGAGUAUGGACUUACAUACUUUUUUUUAUUUUAUUAGUUUAUUUUAAUUAAAUAAUUGUGCCCAGGUUUCAUAAUUUUAGCUUCAAGUUUUUACUUUUUAAAAUCUGGAAAAGCAACACAUUUUCCCACCUAAUUCUAUAAUAAUUUUCUAAGUUAAGUCCCUUCAGAGGACACUUAGUGUUAUAUCAC
ensembl:lncRNA